rnacentral:rRNA from 1 species
UACAGAGGGGGCAAGCGUUGUUCGGAAUUACUGGGCGUAAAGGGCGCGUAGGCGGCCCGCUAAGUCGAACGUGAAAUCCCCGAGCUCAACUCGGGAACUGCGUCCGAUACUGGUGGGCUUGAAUCCGGGAGAGGUGAGUGGAACUGCGAGUGUAGAGGUGAAAUUCGUAGAUAUUCGCAAGAACACCAGUGGCGAAGGCGGCUCACUGGCCCGGUACUGACGCUGAGGUGCGAAAGCGUGGGGAGCAAACAGG